rnacentral:lncRNA from 1 species
GUAACCUGGCUAACCAAUCAGAUCGAGUCUCUCUGGGGCAACUCCAGACUAGCUUGAAACGGAACCUCACGAUUGGCAAGCUUCCCACUGUCGAUUCAUCUUGUAUUUAACGAGAACCGAGGCACAGAGAGGGUUGGACCCAGCUGGGACUGGAAGCCAGACCGUUGGCUCCAGUGGACAUGCCCUUUGUCUCUACUCUGUGGGCUUCUAACCUGAAACUCGCGGAUGGCAGUGGAGAGGGGAGAGAAGCCCGCUGGCAUCUGAGGACAACAAUCUCUAGGUAAAGGGGGCAAUGGAAGGAAGAAGAGGGAAUGUGAUUUCGCCCCCCUCAACUCCAUCUUUGCUUUCGGAGAGGAAUGCUGCCUAAGACAGCCACAGGGGCUGGACAGGAAAAGAUGAACUUUCCUGUUAGCUAUGUUUCCAAGCCCGUGAACAGAAUUCAGGGGCCUCUGAGAAAGACCUGGCUUGGAGGAUGGAGCGGGGAGUGCAGGUGACUGAAGACCAGGCUUGCUGGAAGGUCAGUGUCCCGCAGUGACCUUGUGGUCCUUCCUGGGGUGGAGCAGA